rnacentral:lncRNA from 1 species
UUGAGCAUCCCUAAAUAAUAAUAAAGAGGUACAAUGGGAAGGAUUUCACGGGUAGACCUUGAAGAGACCUUCCAGAAGAUCCCACCUCACGUAGAUCUCUGGCCUGACGGUGUAAACAGGCUUCACCUGUUCACAGCUCUGAAGAGGAGCUUAUUUUACCUGCCAUUACACGCUCUGUGGUGGCAGAUGGAGCUGAUUGCUACCACCUGGAAUGGCAUCUGCAUUUCUCGCCCGGCACUACUAUAUUUAGCAAAUGACUGGGCUUUCCUCUCCCCCUCCGCCAUUUCAAGGGAAGCCAAGCUGCUGGAGGAAGCUUUCCUAAUGGAGAGCAGAACGUUUCUGGGCUAUCUCAAAUUGAAACAGUCUGCUGGAACCCAUCCGUACAGCAAUUUGAAAUGAGCUGCUCUGGAUGCUGCGGAGAACAGCCAGUGGAUCUGAAGUUCCAAUUAAAACUGUGUUUGGACCAUUGCUUUAUUGCCUGCCCAUACUUAAUCUCUCUUGAAAGCACCAUCAUUUAUCUGAAGCAAAAGAAGAACAAGGUAAGGACAGAAAGUAAUGGAAUGCAGCAUAACACAUCUGUCAAACAAGCUUGAAGUAGCUCGGAAAGAAUAAUAAUAAUAAUAAAGAAUUCAAGAUCAGUGACA